GACGAACGCUGGCGGCGUGCCUAAUACAUGCAAGUAGAACGCUGAAGGAGGAGCUUGCUUCUCUGGAUGAGUUGCGAACGGGUGAGUAACGCGUAGGUAACCUGCCUGGUAGCGGGGGAUAACUAUUGGAAACGAUAGCUAAUACCGCAUAAUAGUAGAUGUUGCAUGACAUUUGCUUAAAAGGUGCAAUUGCAUCACUACCAGAUGGACCUGCGUUGUAUUAGCUAGUUGGUGGGGUAACGGCUCACCAAGGCGACGAUACAUAGCCGACCUGAGAGGGUGAUCGGCCCCACUGGGACUGAGACACGGCCCAGACUCCUACGGGAGGCAGCAGUAGGGAAUCUUCGGCAAUGGACGGAAGUCUGACCGAGCAACGCCGCGUGAGUGAAGAAGGUUUUCGGAUCGUAAAGCUCUGUUGUAAGAGAAGAACGAGUGUGAGAGUGGAAAGUUCACACUGUGACGGUAUCUUACCAGAAAGGGACGGCUAACUACGUG
rnacentral:rRNA from 1 species